GGAAACUCCCUCAACAAAUGCAGUGAUGCUGUCUAUGAAAUUUGUGUUGUUCAGUCAUUUUCAUUUGCAUGUGUUUCUUCAGGAUCACAUUUGAAGUUCUCUUGGCUUCUUCAAGUAUUUUUACAGAAGAGGAAAUUGAAGCAAAUAGAGUUGUGACUUCUUGUCAAGGUCCACAUAGCUACUACAUAUCUAAGGGAAAAUAUGAACUCAAGUCUUCUCAGUCUCAACACUAUUCACUGAGCCCCAUAAGUGCCUGUGAAAUUUAUAUUCUUAGAUAAUUGAUUAGAUCACUGAAACAUGUUCAUUCUGCUUCUAGACAAUCACCUCUCUGCUAAGGUGUUCUGCUGUAAUUUUCCACAGAUCACAGAUUUGUAGUUGGAAAGGACUAUUGAGAUUUCUAACAAACUGAAAUCUUCAAGAACCUUUGAGGCAUCAUGCUGGCUUCAUUUCUAGCUGCUUCCCAAGAGCAGGACAUUUUCUCCAUUUUCUCCUUUAACCUUCCAGUGCAUUUAAGUUUAAAGGCACAAGGGACCUGCCUGAGUACUUGGAGGGGAAACAGAAAGAAGCUAGCACAAGAAGACUGCAACCAUCUAGCAGUCUUUUCUUUCUCAUUAAGCCCUUUAAGGAAACAACAUUCUGGCUACUAAGAACAAGGCCAGGCUUUGGAAUUGGAUUAUGCUAGCAAAUUGCAAACUUUGAGUUUUCUAAAAGGCUGCAAGAGAACUAAAGAAUUGCCAUUGGAAAUUUUUUAACCCUCUGAUUGAUGUCAGAAUAACAAGCCUACAGAAUUAUCCUGAUUUCUUGCCUCUGAUAAACCAGCUCCCUAUUCUGUGCACAUUCCACAAUUACAUCCUGAAUGGACCUCUUCUCCCAUUUAGUUUCCUUAUCUUUUCUCUCUGUGUUGACCUGGCCUGUGUAAUAAAAGAACUUAAUGUUUAUUUUGUUGUUGUUGC
rnacentral:lncRNA from 1 species